rnacentral:lncRNA from 1 species
CCGAACCUAGUCAUGAUGGCACCUCUCGUGAAGACAAGGCUAGCCAAUUAACCACAAUUCACUUUUGAAAACAGUUCAACAACAUAAAAGCAGUCUAAAACAUGAUUUAAUAAUACUAAGUAGCGGCUAAUAUCAAUAAAAAUGCGGAAGUACAACCCAACAUAGCCCUAACCGGGGUGUCCCAAGUCACGAGCAUCUAACAACACUGAAUACCCCAAAAGUAACUACAGAGUUUAGUACUGAGCUAAGGACAUAAAGGAAAAGAGACAGGGAGGAGCUCCAGGCUGCAAACGCCAACAACUACCUAAAAACUCCUUGAAUUCGCCUGAAGCUGGAAUGAUCAGCACUCGGGAGUGAGACCAGCUACGCCUGAAUCUGCACACAGGGGUGCAGGGAGUAAAUUGAGUACUCCAACUUAGUGAGCAACAAAUGUAAAUAACGACUGAAAGUAAGAAAACACAUAAGACACAAAGCAUUCUAUAAUGAAGUAGUAAAGCCAUUUAAAAAUAGUAAACCGGUGGAAAGUUAAGUAAAAUCCUUUUUCAACAAGUAAACAAAUAAUUGACAGGUAGUUAAGGUAAAGUAAACAAAUAGAAUUUCUCCCCACGGGCACAAUAUCAACAAAUCCUCCCCUCGGGCAACAUAUCAGAAUAAUACCAGCCCCUCUAGCUCAAUCUCACAUCACAAUGGGUACCCGCGAUCACUGGGGAUGUGUAGACUCCUAGAGGGGCCCCUUACGGCCCAAGAGCAAUAACAAGCCAUCUCGUGGCAUCAAAACUAGGCCCUCGGCCCCAAAUCAUUAUUAGUGUUUCAUCACAACAUAAGCCCUCAUUCUUACUUAGUCAAAAAUCCUCACAAGCCCCUCGGGCAAUAGUAAAACAGUGUAUCUCAGCCCAAACAUCAUUUAAAAUAUCAUUUAAUUCUUAAAAAUGAGUAAACAUUGCUGAGUAUGAAAACAGUGGAAAAUAACAUGAGUGAGUUCAAGUAUAAAGUCAAAAUAAUGCGGAAAUAUCAAUUAAAAUCCCCGAAGUGUUCAAAUAGUUGGCACAAAACCAAAUAAUGAUGAUAGCAAAUAGAUUUCAGUCAAAUACGCGGUAAAAUCAUCAAUCGGGACGGACCAAGUCACAAUCCCCAAUAGUGCACGACCCCACGCUUGUCAUCAAGCAUGUGUCUCACCUCAAUAUAACACCACGAUGUGCAAAUCCGGGGUUUCAAACCCUCAGAACAUCAUUUACAAUCAUUACUCACCUCUAAACGGUCAAAUAUCUAGCUCGCGACGCAUUUGCCCCUCGAAUCGGCCUCCACGCGUGUCGAAUCUAUCCAAAACCAGAACGAGGGCAUCAAAAUAUGCUAAGGGAACGAAGCCCAAGCGAAAACAAUCAAUAAAGGACACAUAUCCCGAAAUUAACAAAACCCUACCCUAGGGCCCACGUCUCGGAAUUCAAUAAUUUUUACACUAAUAGAUUCCUUAUCUCCCCACGAGUUCAUACAUAUCAAAAGUUCUCAAAUCCGACCCCAAAUGGUCCUUCAAAUCCCCAAUCAAAAGUCUAAAUUUCCAAGCCCUAAUUCUUCAAUUUUUGGCUUAAUUUCCAUGAUUUUCUAGGUGGAAUUCACAUAAUAAUCGAGUUUUAAGUCCAAGAAUCUUACCACCAAGUGAUUCCUCUUAAUACCUCUUUAAUCUCCUUCAAAAAGCUCCAAAGCUGAAGUCAAAAAUGGUGAAAUAUCUCAAAUUUGCGAAAUGAAAUAACUUAUAUGUUCUGCCCAGGCCUUUUCGCAUCUGCGGCACAAUACCCACUUCUGCAGUACCGCAUUUGUGGUUAUUCCCACGCUUUUGCGGAAAUCACUUAACCUGCCACAUCCACAUCUGCGAUCAUCCUUCUAUAUGCGGUCCUCUUAGCCGCUUCUGCAGUCCUUGAACCGGUCAAAUCNNNNNNNNNNNNNNNNNNNNNNNNNNNNNNNNNNNNNNNNNNNNNNNNNNNNNNNNNNNNNNNNNNNNNNNNNNNNNNNNNNNNNNNNNNNNNNNNNNNNNNNNNNNNNNNNNNNNNNNNNNNNNNNNNNNNNNNNNNNNNNNNNNNNNNNNNNNNNNNNNNNNNNNNNNNNNNNNNNNNNNNNNNNNNNNNNNNNNNNNNNNNNNNNNNNNNNNNNNNNNNNNNNNNNNNNNNNNNNNNNNNNNNNNNNNNNNNNNNNNNNNNNNNNNNNNNNNNNNNNNNNNNNNNNNNNNNNNNNNNNNNNNNNNNNNNNNNNNNNNNNNNAGCGAAAACAAUCAAUAAAGGACACAAAUCCGAAAUUACCAAAACUCGACCCCCAGGCCCACGUCUCGAAAUUCAAUAAUUUUUACACUAAUAGAUUCCUUAUCUCCCCACGAGUUCAUACAUAUCAAAAGUUCUCAAAUCCGACCCCAAAUGGUCCUUCAAAUCCCCAGUCAAAAGUCUAAAUUUCCAAGCCCUAGUUCUUCAAUUUUUGGCUUAAUUUCCCUUGAUUUUCUAGGUGGAAUUCACAUAAUAAUCGAGUUUUAAGUCCAAGAAUCUUACCUCCAAGUGAUUCCUCUUGAAUCCUUCUUCAAUCUCGUUCAAAAAGCUCCAAAGCCGACGUCAUAAAUGGUGAAAUAUCUCAAAUUUGCGAAAUGAAAUAACUUAUAUGUUCUGCCCAGGCCUUUUCGCAUCUGCGGCACAAUACCCGCUUCUGCAGUACCGCAUUUGUGGUUAUUCCCACGCUUUUGCGGAAAUCACUUAACCUGCCACAUCCACAUCUGCGAUCAUCCUUCUAUAUGUAGUCCUCUUAGCCGCUUCUGCAGUCCCUGACAAAUCCCCAUAAUCCGCUUCUGCGGCCACUCCCUCACACAUGCAGCGCUGCACCUGCGGUCCCCAUUCCGUAGGUGCGAAAAUACUAGAAGCAGCAAUUCAGUAGCUGCAACAACAAUUCAAACUUCCCGUUAACCUUUCAAAAUCACCCCGAGGCCCCCGGGACCUCAUCCUAAAGCACAAACAUACAAUACCUUAUUCAAACUUGUUCCACUCAUCAAAACACCUCAAAACAACAUCAAAUCACCCAAAACACAUAGCAUUCAAGCCAAACUUUCUAAAAUCUUCCGAAUUCCGCUUAUGAUAAAAAACCUAACCAAACCACGCCCGAAUAACCUAAAAUUUUUUACACACAUACCAAAUGACGUAACAAAGCUACUGCAACUCUCAGAAUUCCAUUCUGACCCCUAUAUCAAAAUCUCGCUUACCAACCGAAAAUCGCCAAAAUAUCAACUUCGCCAAUUCAAGUCUAAAUCUACUCCAAACCUCCAAAACCCAUUCCAAUCACACUCCUAAGUCUCAAAUAACCUCCCAAAGCUAACCGAACCAUCGGAAAUCACAUCCGAGCCCUUUAACACACAAGUCAACAUCCAAUUGCCUUUUCCAACUUAAACUUCCAUAAAAGAGACUAUGUGUCUCAAACCUUACCAAAAUCAUUCUGGAUUCAAUACUACCAACCCGAUACCACAAAAUACAGAUAACAAGGCAUAAAUUAGUAGAAAUGGGGGAAACAGAGCGACUCAUGAGACGACUUACUGGGUCGUCACAUCCUCCCCAACUUAAACAAACGUUCGUCCUCGAACGAGUCAAGAAACAUACCUGAAGCCUCCAACAGAUGAGGAUAUCUGCUCCGCAUCUCCCGCCCGGUCCCCCAGGUAGCCUCCUCCACAGGCCGACCUCUCCACUGCACUUUCACUAAAGCUAUAUCCUCAACUUUCAAACUUGAUGACCCAAAAUAGCUACCGGCUCCACAUCAUAAGUCAAAUCACCAUCCAAAUGAACCGAGCUGAAAUAUAGAACAUGAGACGGAUCCCCAAUAUACUUCCNNNNNNNNNNNNNNNNNNNNNNNNNGAAAGGCCCAAUGAACUGAGGACUCAAUUUACCCUUCCUCCCAAAUCUCAUAACGCCCUUCAUGGGUGAAACCUUCAACAGAACCUUCUCCCCAACCAUGUAGGACACAUCCGAAGAUUCCUGACAGCAUAACUGUUUUUCCUCGACUGCGCGGUACAAAGCCUCUACUGAAUUACCUUCACCUUUUCUAAAGCAUCCUGAACAAAGUUUGUCCCCAAUAUCCUAGCCUCACCCGGCUCGAACCAACCAACUAGAGAUCUACACCACCUCCCAUAUAUAGCCUCAUAUGGAGCCAUCUGAAUACUCGACUGGUACCUGUUGUUAUAAGCAAACUAUGCAAGUGGUAGAAACUAAUCCCAUGACCCUCCGAAAUCAAUGACACAAGCGCACAACAUGUCCUCCAAUAUCUGAAUAGUGCACUCUGACUGCCCGCCCAUCGGAGGGUAAAAAGUUGUGCUUAACUCAACCUGAGUACUCAACUCUCACUGCACAGACCUCCAAAACUGCAAAGUAAACUGAGUGCCCCUAUUUGAAAUGAUGGAAACAGGGACACCAUGCAAAUGAACAAUCUCCCAGAUAUAGAUCUCUGCGAAGAGUAGGUAGUACACCAGGAAUGAAGUGUGCGGACUUGGUCAGCUGAUCCAUAAUCACCCAAAUAGCAUCGUACUUCCUCAAAGUCCGUGGAAGUCCAACAACAAAGUCAGUAGUGAUCCUCUCCCCCUUCUACUCCGGGAUAUCCAUCUGCUGAAGCAAGCCACCCGUUCUUUGAUGCUCAUAUUUCACCUACUGACAAUUGAGAUACCGAGCCACAAAUCCCUCAAUAUCUUUCUUCAUUCCACCAAUAGUGCUGCCUCAAAUCCUGAUACAUAUUCGCGGCACCCGGAUGAAUGGAAUGCCGCGAGCUAUGGGCCUCCUCCAGAAUCAACUCCCGAAGCCCAUCCACAUUGGGCACACAAAUCCGGCCCUACAUCUUCAACACCCCAUUAUCAGCAAUAGACACAUCUCUGGAAUCAUCAUGCUGAACUCUGUCCCUAAGGUCAAGCAAAUUCGGAUCAUCAUACUGGCGCUCUCUGAUGCGAUCAUAUAAGGAAUACCCAGAAACCACACAAGCCAAUACCCGACUAGGCUCCGAAAUAUCUAAACUCAUAAACCGAUUGGCCAAGGCCUGAACAUCAACUGCAAGAGGUCUCUCCUCAACUGGAAUAUAUGCCAAACUCCCCAUACUCACUGCUUUUCGGCUCAAAGCAUCGGCCACCACAUUGGCCUUUCCCGGAUGAUACAAUAUAAUGAUAUCAUAAUACUUAAGCAACUCCAACCACCUCUGCUACCUCAAAUUAAGAUCAUUUUGUUUGAACAAAUGAUGAAGACUGUGAUGAUCAGUGAACACCUCACAAGAUACGCCAUACAAGUAAUACCUCCAAAUCUUCAAUGUGUGAACUAUGGCAGCCAACUCCAAAUCAUGAAUGGGGUAGUCUUCUCAUGGGGCUUCAACUGAUGAGAAGCAUAAGCAAUCACUCUACCCUCCUGCAUCAACACAUAACCAAUCCCAACUCUCGAAGCAUCACAAUACACGGUAUAUUAACCUGAAGCUGAUGGCAAAACCAACGUUGGGGAUGUGGUCAAAGCUGUCUUGAGCUUCUGAAAGCACUCCUCACACUCGUCCGACCAUACAAAUGAAGCACCCUUCUGAUUCAACUUGGUCAAGGGAGAUGCGAUAGAUGAGAAUCUCUGAACAAACCGGCGAUAAUAGCUUGCCAAACCAAGAAAGCUACGAAUCUCUGUGGCUGAGGACAGUCUGAGCCAACUCUAAACUGCCUCUAUCUUCUUCAGAUCAACCUGAAUACCCUCGCUAGACACCACGUGCCCCUAGAAAUCCAUUCAACUGAGCCAAAACUCAUACUUGGAGAAUUUUGCAUAAAGCUUCUCCUCUCUCAAUCUCCGCAACACAAAUCUCAAAUGCUCCGCGUGCUCCUCCUCACUACGUGAAUACACCAGAAUAUCAUCAAUGAAUACUAUGAAAAACGAAUCGAGAUAAGGCCGGAACACGCUGUUCAUCAAAUGCAUGAACGCUGAUGGGGCAUUGGUCAGCCCAAAAGACAUCACCAAGAACUCAUAGUGACCAUAUCGGGUCCUGAAAGCCGUCUUAAGAUUAUUCGAAUACCUGAUCUUUAACUGGUGAUAACCUGAAAGUAUAUCAAUAUUGGAGAACACCCUUGCUCCAUGAAGCUGGUCGAAUAAAUCAUCAAUGCGCGGCAAAAGAUACUUGUUCUUAAUUGUUACCUUUUUUAAUUGCCUAUAAUCAAUGCACAUCCUUAUUGUGUCAUCCUUCUUCUUCACAAACAGAACCGGCGCACCCCAAGGUCACACACUAGGUCGAAUGAACCCCUUAUCAAGGAGUUCCUGAAGUUGCUCUUUUAACUCCUUCAACUCCGCUGGUGCCAUACGAUACGGCGGAAUACAAAUGAGCUGAGUGCCCGGCACCAGGUCAAUACCAAAAUCAAUAUCACUGUCCGGUGGCAUUCCCGGCAGGUCUGCAGGAAACACAUCGAGAAAAUCCCUCACAACUAGAACAGAAUAAAUACUGGGAGCCUCAGCUCUAACAUCCCUCACAAACGCUAGAUAUGAAAGACAACCCUUCCCAACCGUAUGUUGGGCCUUCAAGAAAGAGAUCAUUCUACUAGGAACAUAAUCCAUCACACCUCGCCACUCGAUCCGUGGCACAACCAGCAUAGCCAAUAUGACUGUCUUAGCAUGAAAGUCUAGAAUAGCACGACACAAAGAUAACCAAUCCAUGCCCAAAAUGACAUCAAAAUCCAUGAUGCUCAAUAAUAACAAAUCCACUCGGGUCUCCAGACACCCAAUAGUCACCACACACGACCGGUACACACGUUCUACAAUAACAGUAUCGCCCACUGGGGUAGAUAAAUGAAUAGGUAAAGCAAGAAACUCACAGGACGUACCCAAAUAAUGAGCAAAGUAUGAUGACAUAUAAGAAAAGGUGGAACCGAGAUCAAAUAAUACAAAGGCAUCUCUGUGGCAGACUGAAACAAUACAUGUAGUGACAGCAUCUGAAGCAAUAGCAUCGGGCCUGCCUUGGAGUGCAUAGAAAGGGGCCUGACCUCCCCCUGAUUGACCUCCCCCCUAGGGCGACCCCUGCCUGACUUACAUCUACCCCUAGCUGGCUGAGCGGGGGUGGUGAAGAAACUGGCGCUGAAGCCGAUGACUGACCCCUCUACUGAGAUGAACUAGCAAAACGAUGAAGACACUGCCUCCACAUGUGACCCAUCUAACCACACUCAUAACAACUCCCAGGUGUUGGAGAAGGGGACUGAAGGGAACCCCCCGCACCGGAGUGACUAGAAGAUGCACUCGGCAUGGAAGAGCCCUGAACUGAUGGAGCACAAAUCAAACUCUGAGCUGGGAGGGCACUAAGUGAUGACUGGCCCUGCUGAGAACUGUGAUAACCAUGACUCGAAGACGUCCCACGAUAACGGCCUCUGCCGUGCUAAAACUGACCUCUCGAAAAAGCACUACUAUAGCUACCAGAUCCUCGAGGCCUCUUGGCCUAACUCUCCUCUCGCUCCUGGCAACGAACAAACUCAAUCUUACAGGUGAUAUCCACAACCUCCUCGAAGGUAGCACCAUUCACCCUCUCCCUGGUCAUCAGAAUGCGGAGCUGAUAAGUAAGACCAUCUACAAACCUCCUAAUCCUCUCUCUAUCCAUCGGGACCAACUAGAUGGCAUGGCGAGCUAACUCAGAGAACCUCAACUCAAACUGCGACACAGUCAUCUUCCCCUGAUGCAAACACUCAAACUGCCUACGCAACUCCUCUAUGUGAGACUGCGGUACAUACUUCUCCAGAAAGAGAACGGAGAACUGCUGCCAGGAAAGGAGUUCCGCACAAACAGGCCUACGCCUCUCAAAAUCCUCCCACCAAGUGAAAACAGCUCCUAAAAACUGACAAGUGGUAACAACGACCUCACUGGUCUCCAGAAUACCUGUAGUACGAAGCAUCCUCUGAUACUUAUCCAAAAAUCCCUAGGCAUCCUCUCACUCUACGCCACUGAAGGUCAGAGGCUGCAAUCUACCAAACCUCUCCAACCUAUGCUGCUCAUCCUCGGGCAUGACAGGAACUACAUAGUCCUGAGCAACUGCAACCGAUUGGGCUAGAUGCGCCUCCGAUGUCUGAAGUCCCUGCACGACCUGCUCAGGUGUGUGAGCGGCGGGAGUCUAAUUGACUCCCCCGACCUGAGAAGUAGCUGCGGCUGUAGUGGCUGAAACCGACUGAGCCAGACCAGUGCAAACUGAUAAGAUCUGAGCCAAGGCCUCCUGAAGACCCGGAAUCACAAUGGGCACAGCUGGUGCCUGAGAUGGUACUGUUGGAGCGUCCAUAGCUGGAACCUGAUCCUGAGUUGGGGCAGUUGUGGAUCUGCAGGUGCUGCCCUAGCUGCCCUACCUCUACCACAACCACGUCCUCGGCCUCUAGUGGCCAUAGCUGGUGGCACUGGUGGUCGUCCACCCUGUUCGGUAGCGCGUGUCCUCACCAUAUGUGAGAGAAUAGAACAACAAAAGUUUAGUAUUCAGAUCAACAAGUUCGCAUGACAACAAUUUCAAGAAUGUGAAGUUUUUCCUAAAGGUUCUGCAGCUUCUCGAGGAUAAAUACACCCGUCUCUGUAACGAUUUGCGAGACUCUACUAAACCUGCUCAUGACUCAUGAGACCUAUGUAACCUAGGCUCUAAUACCAACUUGUCACGACCCUAAACCCAAACCCGGUCGUGAUAGCGCCUCUCGUGAAGACAAGGCUAGCCAAUUAAACCCAAUAACAGUUAAGCAACAUAAAAGUAGUCUAAAACAUGAUUUAAUAAUACUAAGUAGAGGAUAAUAUCAAUAAAAAUGCGAAAUUACAACCCAACACAGCCCUAACCGGGGUGUCACAAGUCACGAGCAUCUAACAACACUGAAUACCCCAAAAGUAACUACAGAGUUUAAUACUGAGCUAAGGACAUAAAGGAAAAGAAAUAGGGAGGAUCUUUGGGCCGUGAACGCCAACAGCUACCUAAAGACUCCUCAAAUCCGCCUGAAGCUGUAAUGAUCAGCAUUCGGGAGCGGGACUAGCUACGCCUAAAUCUGCACACAGGAGUGCAGGGAGUAAAGUGAGUACUCCAACUCAGUGAGUAACAAAUGUAAAUAACGAGUGAAAGUAAGAAAACACGUAAGGCACAAAGCAUUCUAUAAUGAAGCAGUAAAGCCAUUUAAAAACAAUAAACCGGUGGAAAGUUAAGUAAAAUCCUUUUUCAACAAGUAAACAGAUAAUUGACAUGAAGUUAAGGUAAAGUAAACAAAUAGAAGUUCGCCCUUCUGGCACAGUAUCAACAAAUUCGCCCCUCGGGCAACAUCUCAGAACAAUACUAGCCCCUCGGGCUAAUCUCACAUCACAAUGGGUACCCGCGCUCACUAGGAGUGUGCAGUCUCUUGGAGGGCCCAUUACGACCCAAGCGCAAUAACAAGUCAUCUCGUGGCAUAAAAACUAGGCCCUCGGCCUCAUAUCAAUCAAUACACCUCGUGGCGUACUUAUCGCAAACCCUCGUCCUCAAAUCAGUAUCAGUGUUUCCUCACAACAUAGGCCAUCGGCCUUACUUAGUCAAAAAUCCUCACAAGCCCCUUGGACAAUAGUAAAAGAGUGUUUCUCAGCCCAAACAUCAUUUAAGAUAUCAUUUAAGUCUUAAAAAUGAGUAAACAUGGGUGAUUAUGAAAACAGUGAAAAAUAACAUGACUGAGUUCAAGUAUAAAGUCAAAAUAGUGCGAAAAUAUCAAUAAAAAUCCCCGAAGGGUUCAAAUAGUUGGCACGAAGCCCAAAUAAUAAUGAUAGCAAAUAGAUUUAAGUCAAAUAUGCGGUAAAAUCAACAAUCAGGACGGACAAAGUCACAAUCUCCAAUAGUGCACGACCCCACGCUCGUCAUCAAACGUGUGUCUCACAUCAAUAUAGCACCACGAUGUGCAAAUCCGGGGUUUCAAACCCUCAGAACAUCAUUUACAAUCAUUACUCACCUCUAAACGGUCAAAUAUCUAGCUCGCGACGCAUUUGCCCCUCGAAUCGGCCUCCACGCAUGUCGAAUCUAUCCAAAACCAGAACGAGGGCAUCAAAAUAUGCUAAGGGAACGAAGCCCAAGCGAAAACAAUCAAUAAAGGACACAUAUCCCGAAAUUAACAAAACCCGACCCUAGGGCCCAUGUCUCGGAAUUCAAUAAUUUUUACACUAAUAGAUUCCUUAUCUCCCCACGAGUUCAUACAUAUCAAAAGUUCUCAAAUCCGACCCCAAAUGGUCCUUCAAAUCCCCAAUCAAAAGUCUAAAUUUCCAAGCCCUAAUUCUUCAAUUUUUGGCUUAAUUUCCAUGAUUUUCUAGGUGGAAUUCACAUAAUAAUCGAGUUUUAAGUCCAAGAAUCUUACCACCAAGUGAUUCCUCUUAAUACCUCUUCAAUCUCCUUCAAAAAGCUCCAAAGCUGAAGUCAAAAAUGGUGAAAUAGCUCAAAUUCGCAAAAUAACUUAUAUGUUCUGCCUUGACCUUUUUGCAUCUGCGGCACAAUACCCGAUUCUGCAGUACCGCAUUUGCGGUUAUUCUUCCGCUUCUGCGAAAAUCACUUAACAGGCCACAUCCGUAUCUGCGAUCAUCCUUCCGCAUCUGCGACUCCGCAGAUACGGUCCUCUUAGCCGCUUCAGCGGUCCCCGACAAAUCCCCAUAAUAAGCUUUCGCGGCCACUCUCUUGCACAUGCGGCGCCGCACCUCCGGUCCCUAUUCCGCAUGUGCGAAAAUACCAGAAGCAAAAAUUCAGCAGCUGCGACAACAAUCCAAACUUCCCGUUAAUCUUCCGAAAUCACACAGAGGCCCCCAGGACCUCAUCCUAAAGCACAAACAUAACCCAAUACCUUAUUCAAACUUGUUCCAAUCAUCAAAACACCUCAAACAACAUCAAAUCACCCAAAACACAUCGGAUUCAAGCCAAACUUUCUAAAAUCUUCCGAAUUUUGCUUUUGAUCAAAAACCCAACCAAACCACGUUUGAAUAACCUGAAACUUUGGACACACAUUCCAAAUGACAUAACGAAGCUACUGAAACUCUUGGAAUUCCUUUCCGUCCCCUAUAUCACAAUCUCGCCUACCAACCGGAAAUCGCCAAAAUAUCAACUUUGCCAAUUCAAGCCAAAUCUUCUCCAAACCUCCAAAACCCAUUCCAAUCAUACUCCUAAGUCUCACAUCACCUCCCGAAGCUAACCGAACCAUCAGAACUCACAUCCGAGCCCUCUAACACACAAGUCAACAUCCGAUUGCAUUUUUCAACUUAAACUUCCUUAAAAGAGACUAAGUGUCUCAAACCUUACCAAAAUCACUCCGGAUUCGAUACGACCAACCCAAUACCACAAAACACAGAUAACAAGGCAUAAAGAAGCAGAAAUAGGGUAAACGAAGUGGUAACUCAUGAGAUGGCGGGUCGGGUCGUCAUAGAAUCAGAGUUCAAUCAAUUAGGGAUCAAUCAACCAAUCACAGAAUUAAUUUCUAUAGGGAAGUCCGGGAAAGACCCAUUUGAUUGGGGUAUAGUCAAUUAACGAUCAUAAUAUGGGGUUCAGUUAAGGCAAUGAAUCAAAAUCAUACAUGUAGGGAGUCAGUAAAAAUCCCCAAACUAUUGUCGAAUAAUUAAGGCAAGUAAAAAAUAGGAAAGCAGGUCACAAUUAAGGAAGAUAGUAAAAUCCCAGAACACUGAUUCUAACAUGGCAAUUAAUAGGAAACAAUCGGUAAAAAUCUUCAAAGAGUACUGAUCUCAUAGAAAAAAAUUAUUUGAAUCCUUAAAUAGAAAUCAACCAAGUAAGAAUCCCAAAUGGGUUCUGAUUUUAGCAAGAAAGAAGAUCAUUCAAAUCCUUAACAGAAAUCAAUCAAGUAAAGAAAAAUCCAUAAAAAUACUGAUUUUAACAGGGACAAUCAUUUAGGUCUCUAAAUAGAAUAAGUUAACAUUGCUGGCUCAGGUAGAUAAACACAAUAUCGAAACAAAAUCAAAGAAAUCAGUAUAACACACAGAAUCAUCUAGAGUUUAAGCAUGAAUGUGAAAAUUAGUCAAGAUAGUGAAGAAACAAUUAAUAAAAACACUGAGAAGUUAGAAAAAUCUUUGAAGAAAAGUCUAGGAUGAACCUUAAUUUCAGAAAGAAUAAAUGAAGUCGAAAAAAUUAAUUAAACCAAGAGAUUUUUAAAGGAAAAUACCCAAUAAUACUCAAAUCACUUCAGAUCUGAGAAGAUUCGAACAGUAGUGAAACUAGGGUUUUCAGAAAAUAGUUGAGAUGAAGAGAAUUGAUCGAAAACCCAUGGAUUCGUACUAGAAACAAGAGAAAAUCCAUCCUCACAAAUGAAAGUGGCCUGAGACAGGCUGGUAAACAACUUUCAAGCCAGAACAGGUUGGAUUUCCAUGAGAUCUUCUCAAGGACUCAUGAAAUCAAACAGUCAGAAGGUAUAAGAGACCAAUGAUGGUCGGAGAAUGCACGGAAACACCAUAGAAGACAGGUUCCCGCUGGUGAUGGGGAUUAGGGUUAGGGUGAGUUGAGAGAGAAUUAGAGAUGAGGGAUUCAAAGGCGGCGGGGUGUGACAAAUGAGUUGGGUUAGGGGGUCAUUUGGG